UAAAAUAUGUUUAGGUUAUUUGAUCUAAAUAUCGUUUUUUGCCGUCAUGUUUAAUUAUUUUGUAUUAGAUAUUCUGUGAAUUUAUAUUUUGUAAAUCAUAUGCGUAUAUAUGCAUAUGUACACAUAUAUUAAUAAUAUAUUUAAAAAUACGAUAUAAAAUAUAAAUUAUAAAUAUAUAAACAUCAAAUUUAAUGCAUCAUUUUAAAAGAUAGUUACGAAUAAUGCGAAAUAACACGCAAUCUUAACGAUUAUAACCUAUACGAAAGUUGAAAAUUUGACAGUAAAAAGAAAUAAAAAAAGAAAAUGAUUGGUUUGAAAUAAUAAAUAUUUUAAUAAAUGCUUUACGUUGAAGUGUUUUAGUUUUCAUUAGUUUUUUUUAUUUAUUUAAUUUGAAAGUGUAAAUAAUUUAACUGUUUUCCUGUGGAAUACUUUUACCAAUUAUAAAAUUAACAAUUAUUUAUAUAAUAGAAUUUUAGAAUAUAAGUAAAUAUAAAUCUCACAUAUAUAUUUCUCUCCAAUCUUAAUAUUUAUAGUUUUGUUAUUUUGAAGAUUAUAUUUUUUAAAAUUGUACGAUAUAAUUAGAAGAAUUAUAAUAAUGCAGAAAUAUUUAAAUUCAUAAUAAUUUUUGUGUUUAAAUAUAUUUAUAAACAUUCGUAAUAAUAAUAAUAAUAAUCCAUUUUAAAUAUCUUGUUCUAUAAUAAGAUUUAAUUGUCUAUAUUAUUAAUGUCUAUAUUAAUGUUAUUUAACUAUAUUACAUGGAAAUCGACAAUAUGGAAUUUAUAAUGGUCUAAUCUCGUGAUUUGUGUUAUAAAAACAAAUUUUAUGAUGCAGUGUUUAAAGAAUUUUGUGGAAAAAGAAAAUUCAUCAAUUCGAAACACAUGUAAUCUUAUUACGGGCACGAUUGCUUGAUUUUUUUCUGUAGAAGAUGAAAUCGAGAUAAAGGUCCAAAGGUCCGAUAUGGUAUGGAUUUGUUAAAUUCCUAUUAAUAAAUGCAACAAUUUGUAAUGAUAAAACAACACUGGUUUCAUUAGAAUCCACUGCAUUGUGUUUUCUUGUGAAAGUGAAGCAAGUUUUGACUCUAAUGUUCUUAAAUAUCGUGAAAAAAUUCAUCCAAUAUGCCUGUCAACGUACACAGUCAUCCUUAAGAUGUUAUGCAGAAGCAGGAUUCCUUAUCAUUGCUGAUCUCUUCAGGAAAGAGAAACCUACAUGAUUCUGCAAAACAUGGUCUUUAUCUGGAUCCUCAGAAUGUUGUUUAGAAUAUUCGAUAUGUUGAAAUAGUUGGAUGAACCUGUACACAAGUGUUCUGCAAAAUUCCUUGAUAUUAGCACAAGAAAGAUAAGAUAUCGUUUGUGAAAUCAAGAUCACCGAAAAUAUAAAAAUUGCGAUCACUUUCAAAUAAUGCAUAAAAUAGAUUUUUAGAUGGAGAAAGUGAAACUAGAGUGAAAAGAAAAAAAGUCCCUUUUUGUAUUAGUGGUGUAUCUUACAGAAAGUUAUUGAUUAUAAAUGCUGGUUUAUGGCAAUUUAUCAUUAUUUAAUAUAUUGAUGAAAUUUGUGUUUCAUUUUCUGUUUCAAUCCACGAGAAACUAAUUUAACAACUGAUCUAAGUGUCCUUUAAAUCCAUAGUAAUAGUGUGAUGAAAAGUAUUGACGAUACACUUCAGAAACAAAUUCAAUUAUCAAGAAUAGAAUAUUAUUUGUGUUUGAUAUGAUUGAAAUUAUGAUUAUCCUGUUUUGUUUACUGUUUCAUGAUGUAGUAUUGAUGUAAUGCAUCUUGGAAGUAUGUUUAUUAUAUUAAUUACUAGUAUGUUCAUAGCAGUUUGUAACAUGAUCUUAAUAUUUAUUAUUCAUUUUUCUUUUAACAUUUCCUGUUUAAACCUUAUGGAAUUAAACACUACCUUUUUAAGUAAUAAGAAAAAUUGUGGUAGAGUGAACUUUGACAUGAUUUAUAGAUAUUUUUUUAUAGAUUUUAUUUAUAGCAUUGUUUAUCGUCAUUUGUUGUAUUUGGUAUAAUAUACGAUACGAUUGAAAUUCGAUUAUUUUAAAUUUCAAUUUUGCAGAAUUAGACAUCAUUUCUUAAGAUACAUUAUAUUUUAAAGUAAAUAUUAAGAAUAUAAUAACAGUGAGAUAUCAUUAGUUUAUUGGUUUUAAUUUUUAACAUUAUUGGUAAAUAUUGGAAUUGAAAAUAAAUAUUGUAACAUAUCAAAAGUUGAGAAUAAUAGCUACCGUUCUAUGAGGAAUUGUUCUUUUUAUGCUUUCAUCUGAUAUAUAUGAGAUAUAUAUCUUUGUCAAUCGAACGAAAUUGAAUUAUUGUCUGCAUAGUUAUAAAAAUUUUCUAAUGUAACAUUAAGAUUAUAUUAAGAUUGAUAAAAUAAUAUACAACUUUAGAUUUUUAAAAAUAAAAAUAAAUUAAUGAUUAUACCCUAAUAUGUGAGAUAUAGAUCAUGGUAUUAGUGAAAUCGAAAUUGUCACGAUCGUGGAUAUCUUUUCACUAAUUUUAAGUGGACCCUAUGCUUAUGCUCAAUCACGAUUCUCAAGGUAUUCAAUGGAGAUUACUGCUUGAUUAGUUAUACGGUGACGUUUCACAUUCCAAAAACAUUAUAUAACACAAGUAGAGCUGACAUUAAAUAUUUUAAUAUUACGAUAUGAAAUACGAAUAUUACGAAUGUCUAAAAUUGCUUGAAUUUUUUUUCUCUUUUUCAAAUAUUAGAAUCGUAACAUUAAUUUGCAUUAAUUAUGCAAAUUUGUUGAAAAUUAUUUGACUUUCAUGUAAAUAUAAUUCUAAAAAUCUAAA